CGACCUCCCACCGCAACGCACCCUCCCGCUACAGGUCUCACACUCCCUCGGCUGCAGGUCGCGGCCUCCCGCGGCUGCAGGUCGCGGAUUCGACUUCGUCGCUGCACAUAGGGACCGUGGCCUCCCCCGCGUGUGGUCGCCUCCGUCCUGCUUCGGCCCGUUUCCGGCUAUCCAUAGACUGAUUGAACUGACGGGCAUCCCCUCCGACGAUUGCAGCUUCACCAAUGUUGCCGUUCAACAACGCAGCGAUCUGAGGGGAGAAGACAAACUAAAUGAUUCAGUUCAUCAUUGGCAUCCUUGUGAACAGUUUUGAAGAUAGCUUUCAGAGACUAAUUACGUGAUAUUUCUCUCAAACUUUUUCUACAAAUAGCCUGGGACUUCCACUGACUGUGCCACUGCUUCAGCGUCCACCAUCAGUGGCAUUGGCCGCCCUCUGAGCCAAAUCUUGGCGCUCCCAGCCGCUGCUCCUGAACCCCGCCUCCAUCAGCUCCACUUCACCGGAGCCGCCAGUCCGCAUGAGUAGGGCUAGCGUAUCCCCCUACAGCGGUCAAAUCCCACUGCACCCAGCCGCUGCUCUUGAACCUCGCCUCCAUCAGCUCCACUUCACUGGAGCCGUCAGUCUGCAGGAGUAGGGGUAGCAGGUUCACCCAACGUCGGACGCCUUCUUCCAUCUCCAAAAAUCUUGUUUUUGAGUUCAGUUCUUCAUCACAUGUUUCACUAGCUGAAAUUGCUUGACGAACAGAGCAAAGGGCCCAAACCCGCUAUCGUGCAAGAAAAAGAAAUCAAAGCCCCAACCGUCAGCUGCUCAAAUCAUCAGGAAAAAUAUUUUCAGGUUAUUGGUGCCGCUGGAUAACUGUCAUAGUUUGUCGCCAGCAAAGUCCUCGAACUUGGUCUACACCAGUAGUAGAACUUACUGGUUCUCCGUGACCUAAAGUUGAAAACAGACAAAAAUUCUCAAGAAUUGAGGCUUCGCCAAGGAACAAGACUGGUAACUAGCGCAAAGGAGACUAUGUCGAGAGGUGGCACUGCAAGACUUGCUGAUGUGUAGUUAUGGCAUAAAAAGAUGAAAAAAUUGUAUCUUGUAUGAUUCCAUAAGCUGUACAUAGCAAAUCUUCCCAUGUGGAUCAGUACAACUUAUGUACGGCCUUGAGUUCACAAAUCUUAUAGUAAUCUUUGUAGUGCUUUUCGUAACACUAAGUAAAGCAAGAGUAGCCCUUUUCUUGUGAGCAACAAUUCAAACGAAUCUGUUGUAUCAGUUCUUAUGAUAGAUAGAAGAUAAAACAAGAAAGAGAAGCCCUUUUUUUGUA